AAGAGCUCAAGAGGAAAAUGACGUCAACACCAGUUUUGAUUUUGCAAAGUCCGAGCGAAUCUUUUAUUGUGUAUUGUGAUGCUUCGAAGAUGGGUUUAGGUGGUGUGCUUAUGCAGAAUGGUCAGGUUGUAGUUAUGCUUCAAGAUAAUGUAAGGUUCAUGAGAGGAAUUAACCUACCCAUGAUUUAGAGUUGCCAAUUAUGGUGUUUGUGCUUAAAGUUUGGAGGCAUUAUCUG
rnacentral:lncRNA from 1 species